CAAUGCUGCUGCGGCUAAUGCUGCGGCGGCUGGUGGCCGACGACCAGGUUAGGUCCGCCUGCAACUAAAGCAAAACCCUGACCUACACCAAAGUCGUCAUUUUCCCCCCGCUCUCUCAAGAUGGGUCAGCGAACGUAUUCAAGGCUAUUAAACCCAGCUAACGAGCGAACCGGGCUAAAUUUAAAUAGCUAAAUCCUCUCCCGCUAUCAAUAGUAGGUGUCACCACCGAAUCUUAUCGAUAGCGGGACCUGCUGACGUAUCGGUUCGUUUUAGUAUUUUCCAGACGGCUUUAACUGAAAAUGCAACAACUUUUCGUUAACAGCCACACACAUUAGGAACAUUUAUUAAAUUUUCUUUGCUGUAUAUUAGCACAUAAAAAAAAGUUUUUAUAAAUUU